rnacentral:rRNA from 1 species
UACGAGGGGUCCUAGCGUUGUUCGGAAUCAUUGGGCGUAAAGAGUCUGUAGGCGGUCUUGUAAGUCAGGUGUGAAAGCCCCGGGCUCAACCCGGGAAGUGCAUCUGAUACUGCUUGACUUGAGUGUUAGAGAGGGCAGUGGAAUUCCUGGUGUAGUGGUGAAAUACGUAGAUAUCAGGAGGAACACCGGUGGCGAAGGCGGCUGCCUGGCUAAACACUGACGCUGAGAGACGAAAGCGUGGGGAGCAAACAGG